UAAGUAUGCAACUCUGUUUUUCAUGCAUUUCGCAAAAUAUUCUACAGCAACAAGUGGGCGAAAAUAUAAAGGUUCCGUUGUGGUGCAAUCAAUAUCAACUAAUUGUUCAAUAUGUUCGCAUUGACACGUACUGCUUCAAACGCCCCAAAGCGGCUGUGCGUUGUAAGCAGGAUUUGCCGAAGCGAUUAUGCCGCUUUGGAACCAAUCAUCUGCCGUGAAAUCAUGGAAUUGCACAGAAAAACUGAUGUGACUACGACCAUCCCAUGUUGAAGCUAUCUGGGAUAGCGCCCACGGGAAGGAUAUCUAUAAUCCCCUCGUUGCCGCUGCUAAGAGAUGUUUGUGUCAUCUAAGCUUUAAGUGACCUAGAGAAGCCUAUUCGAAUUUGUGGGACGAAUGUUGGGCAAAGCGGUGCUACUCUAAAGGAUAAAUUGAAGGAGC